rnacentral:rRNA from 1 species
AAAAUGACUCUCGGCAACGGGUAUCUCGGCUCUCGCAUCGAUGAAGAACGUAGCAAAAUGCGAUACGUGGUGUGAAUUGCAGAAUUCCGUGAACCAUCGAGUUUUUGAACGCAAGUUGCGCCCAAUGUCAUCUAGCUGAGGGCACGUCUGCCUGGGCGUCACGC